rnacentral:lncRNA from 1 species
UGAGAAAAAGGAAGCUUUAUAUCUUUUCCAAACUGGCAAGCAGGACAGAUGUAAGAAGUAUCACGAUUGUUACAUGAAAAAGCAUUUGAAGAAAGAAGAAAUUUCAACAUUUGGUCAUUGGGAUGUGAUAGACUAUAGAUUUGACCAAUUUUCAUCCAUACUUUAUAGGUGUUUUUACUAAGAAUUAUUAUAUUAUAGAGUCUAUUUAUUAUAUUUAUAAGAUCAUGAGUGUUUUGGAGAUAAGUGAUGAUUUUGGAGCAUUUUGAAGAUAUUUGGAACAAGCACCCGAGAUGACCAUCGAGCUCGACCAACGGUCGAUAUUGGAGAUGAAUAAUCGAUCGAUACUCACAUCUGUUUA